GAUCAUGGCUCAGGAUGAACGCUAGCGACAGGCUUAACACAUGCAAGUCGAGGGGCAGCAUGAGGUAGCAAUACCUUGAUGGCGACCGGCGCACGGGUGAGUAACGCGUAUCCAACCUGCCCUUUACUCGGGGAUAGCCUUCUGAAAGGAAGUUUAAUACCCGAUGAAUUCGUUUAGUCGCAUGGCUUGAUGAAGAAAGAUUUAUCAGUAAAGGAUGGGGAUGCGUCCCAUUAG
rnacentral:rRNA from 1 species